UAUUAGAGGCACUGCCUGCCCAGUGACUAAAGUUUAACGGCCGCGGUAUCCUGACCGUGCAAAGGUAGCAUAAUCACUUGUUCCUUAAUUAGGGACUAGCAUGAACGGCUAAACGAGGGUCCAACUGUCUCUUAUCUUUAAUCAGUGAAAUUGACCUUUCAGUGAAGAGGCUGAAAUAUAAUAAUAAGACGAGAAGACCCUAUGGAGCUUAAAUUAUAUGACUUAUCUAUUUAAUUUAUUAAACCUAAUGGACCAAAAACUAUAGUAUAAGUUUGAAAUUUCGGUUGGGGUGACCUCGGAGAAUAAAAAAUCCUCCGAAUGAUUAUAACCUAGACUUACAAGUCAAAGUAAAAUCAACAUAUCUUAUUGACCCAAAUACAUUUUGAUCAACGGACCAAGUUACCCUAGGGAUAACAGCGCAAUCCUAUUUAAGAGUUCAUAUCGACAAUUAGGGUUUACGACCUCGAUGUUGGAUCAGGACAUCCCAAUGGUGUAGAAGCUAUUAAUGGUUCGUUUGUUCAACGAUUAAAGUCCUACGUGAUCUGAGU
rnacentral:rRNA from 1 species